rnacentral:rRNA from 1 species
GCACCUACGGGAGGCAGCAGUGAGGAAUAUUGGUCAAUGGUCGGGAGACUGAACCAGCCAAGCCGCGUGAGGGAUGAAGGUACAGAGUAUCGUAAACCUCUUUUGUCAGGGAACAAAGGCGGGGACGUGUCCCCGGAUGCGUGGACCUGAAGAUAAAGCAUCGGCUAACUCCGUGCCAGCAGCCGCGGUAAUACGGAGGAUGCGAGGGUUAUCCGGAUUUAUUGGGUUUAAAGGGUGCGCAGGCGGUCUGUUAAGUC